UUGUAAUUUGGAGAAGGUGCUUCGGAAGAGAUGACGGUCCAAGUACCUUGGAACAGGUCGUCACAGAGGGUGAGAAUCCCGUAUGUGAUCAAUCAUCGAUUCCAUGUGAAGCCCUUUCGACGAGUCGAGUUGUUUGGGAAUGCAGCUCUAAAUGGGUGGUAAAUUCCAUCUAAAGCUAAAUAUCUGCCAGAGACCGAUAGCGCACAAGUAGAGUGAUCGAAAGAUGAAAAGCACUUUGAAAAGAGAGUCAAACAGUACGUGAAAUUGUUGAAAGGGAAGCGUUUGCAAUCAGACUCGUUUGCAGAAGCUCAGCUUUCCUUCGGGAUGGUGUAUUCUUCUGUCAACGGGCCAGCAUCAGUUUCGGCGGUUGGAUAAAGACUUUGGGAACGUAGCUCUCCUCGGAGAGUGUUAUAGCCCGGAGUGUAAUGCAGCCAGCUGAGACUGAGGUCCACGCUUUUGCUAGGAUGCUGGCAUAAUGGUUGCUAGCGACCCGUCUUGAAACACGGACCAGUAAGUUCCUUAUCGUCGAUAUGGUUGAACGUAUGCUAACGAUUAUAUAGAGGAGUCGACCAAUGACGCGAGUGUUUGGGUGUAAAACCCAUGCGCGUAAUGAAAGUGAACGUAGGUGGGACCUUCGGGGCACCAUCGACCGAUCUUGAUGUCUUCGGAUGGAUUUGAGUAUGAGCAUUUUUGGUCGGACCCGAAAGAUGGUGAACUAUGCGCGGAUAGGGUGAAGCCAGAGGAAACUCUGGUGGAGGCUCGCAGCGGUUCUGACGUGCAAAUCGAUCGUCAAAUCUACGCAUAGGGGCGAAAGACUAAUCGAACCGUCUAGGUAAGAUAAUUAAGCAUUGGUUUCAUGCCGAGUAGUACUAACUAUUCAACAGUAGCUGGUUCCUGCCGAAGUUUCCCUCAGGAUAGCAGCAACGAAUAUAGCAGUCUCAUGAGGUAGAGCAACGAUUAGAGGAAUUGGGGGUCAAUGACCCUUAACCUAUUCUCGAACUUCGAAUAUGUGAGAAGUCCUUGUUACUUAAUUGAA
rnacentral:rRNA from 1 species